ACAGCUAAACUGUAUAAUUAGUUUUUAUUUUUAUCUAUAUUUAAUGUUUCAUACAUGUGCCACAAGAUUCGAUGUGACGGGGAAUCUUGAAAACUUUUUGGUUUUCAGGGUGAACUAAACAAGGCCUAGGCGCAGCCUGAACUGCCGAAGGAGACAGGGCACAGGGCAGCACGGCGCACCCCAGGGCCAGGGUCAACUUGAGAUGCGGUGAGGGUAGACUUUGAUUUGUUUUUUUUUUGGAACUUGCUUUGAUUUCUUUUGUUUGCUUGGAGCCGUGUGUUUGGCUUUGAUACAAGGGAUGGGAUGACCCUAUCCUUGUUCUAUGGGAUAGCGCUUGGAGGGCCUUGUUUUCUGGUUGGUAGAAGGGCCAAGGAAAAUGAGUAUCCUUGCUAUAUGUGACACUGUUAACAACAGUUACUAGUGGCCUAGGAUAGAACAGUCUCGGUUAGUUGUUUGCUUGGAGUGUAGAAUCGUCCUUGUUUUCUGUUUGGCAGAAGGACCAAGAGGGAUGAGUAUACUCUCUCCAUACUAGAAAUACAUGACGUUUAGAGCAAGUUUAAUAAUACACUCUACUUGCUGGUUGUAAGGUUUCUUGUAGCCUUCUUACAGCCCACUCAUACAAUAAUGAGCUAUUCACUAUUAAUAUAUGGCCCAUUUGUUUCUCUCACAAAGUUUCUUGGAUUAUGUGCCU
rnacentral:lncRNA from 1 species